AUGGCUCCUGCUCGGGUUGGCCGGUUCCAGAUGUCUAAUCUCUCAGAGCCCUCAAAAGAAGAUGGUUCAAUCGAGAAAACUGGAGCUUGGAAUAACACAUGGAGCACUCUUCUGCGCCAUGCUUCGGUCUAUGGUGUGGCUGCUGGUUAUUGUCUGUCAGCAUCUCUGCUCUCCAUUAUCAACAAAUGGGCAAUCAUGAAGUUUCCCUACCCUGGAGCACUGACAGCUUUACAGUACCUCACUAGUGUUGCUGGAGUUCUCCUGUGUGGACAGCUAAAGCUUAUUGAGCCAGAUAGGCUGAAUUUGAGGACCAUGUGGAAGUUCCUACCUGCUGCUGUUAUGUUCUACAUCUCAAUCUUCACAAACAGCGAGCUCCUGAUGCAUGCCAAUGUGGACACUUUCAUCGUGUUUCGGUCUGCUGUGCCGAUAUUUGUGGCCAUUGGGGAGACACUUUACCUCCACCAACCAUGCCCAUCAUUCAAGACAUGGCUCUCACUCUCCACUAUACUUGGUGGAAGUGUGAUAUAUGUUUUCACUGAUAACCAGUUCACCCUGACUGCUUACAGCUGGGCGAUAGCCUAUCUAGCGAGCAUGUCUAUUGAUUUCGUGUACAUCAAGCACGUUGUCAUGACCAUCGGGUUGAACACAUGGGGUCUUGUGCUCUACAACAACCUUGAGGCUCUGCUGUUGUUUCCCCUUGAGCUCCUUAUAAUGGGAGAGUUUAAUCAGAUGAAGGUGGACAGCUCCAAGAUGACAACAAACUGGCUAUCGUUCGACGUGGUCCUUCCUGUUGCUCUGUCAUGCCUGUUCGGGUUAUCUAUAUCCUUCUUUGGAUUUUCCUGCAGACGGGCCAUCUCUGCUACUGGAUUUACGGUGCUCGGUAUAGUGAACAAGCUCCUGACCGUCGUGAUCAAUCUGCUUAUCUGGGACAAGCAUGCGUCCCUUGUGGGGACAAUUGGGCUUUUGAUAUGCAUGUCUGGUGGUGUUCUCUACCAGCAAUCGGCCACAAAGCCCAAGGUGCCCAAGAUCGAGCCAAAGGAAGAGGACGAUGAAGAGGGGCAGAAUUUGCUGCAGAUUCAGCCCGGGCAUGAGAGCAACCCAAGUCAAAAGCAUUCCUCAUAA
rnacentral:rRNA from 1 species